GUGCCAGCAGCCGCGGUAAUACGUAGGGUGCGAGCGUUAAUCGGAAUUACUGGGCGUAAAGCGUGCGCAGGCGGUUUGCUAAGACCGAUGUGAAAUCCCCGGGCUCAACCUGGGAACUGCAUUGGUGACUGGCAGGCUAGAGUAUGGCAAAGGGGGGUAGAAUUCCACGUGUAGCAGUGAAUUGCGUAGAGAUGUGGAGGAAUACCGAUGGCGAAAGCAGCCCCCUGGGCCAAUACUGACGUUCAUGCACGAAACCUGGGGAGCAAACAGGAUUAGAUACCCUGGUAGUCC
rnacentral:rRNA from 1 species